UGCUCCUUUGACGUUAGCGGCGGACGGGUGAGUAACACGUGGGCAACCUACCCUAUAGUUUGGGAUAACUCCGGGAAACCGGGGCUAAUACCGAAUAAUCUCUUUUGCUUCAUGGUGAAAGACUGAAAGACGGUUUCGGCUGUCGCUAUAGGAUGGGCCCGCGGCGCAUUAGCUAGUUGGUGAGGUAACGGCUCACCAAGGCGACGAUGCGUAGCCGACCUGAGAGGGUGAUCGGCCACACUGGGACUGAGACACGGCCCAGACUCCUACGGGAGGCAGCAGUAGGGAAUCUUCCACAAUGGGCGAAAGCCUGAUGGAGCAACGCCGCGUGAGUGAAGAAGGUUUUCGGAUCGUAAAACUCUGUUGUAAGGGAAGAACAAGUACAGUAGUAACUGGCUGUACCUUGACGGUACCUUAUUAGAAAGCCACGGCUAACUACGUGCCAGCAGCCGCGGUAAUACGUAGGUGGCAAGCGUUGUCCGGAAUUAUUGGGCGUAAAGCGCGCGCAGGCGGUCCUUUAAGUCUGAUGUGAAAGCCCACGGCUCAACCGUGGAGGGUCAUUGGAAACUGGGGGACUUGAGUGCAGAAGAGGAAAGUGGAAUUCCAAGUGUAGCGGUGAAAUGCGUAGAGAUUUGGAGGAACACCAGUGGCGAAGGCGACUUUCUGGUCUGUAACUGACGCUGAGGCGCGAAAGCGUG
rnacentral:rRNA from 1 species